AGCCUUCUGCAUCUGUGCUGAGAUUUCGUCACACACCAAAACACAAAGACUGGUGAGACUCCCAAGAUAAGUGAAGCG
rnacentral:pre_miRNA from 1 species